CAGUCGCCGCGGUAAUACGGAGGGUGCAAGCGUUAAUCGGAAUUACUGGGCGUAAAGCGCACGCAGGCGGUCUGACAAGUCAGAUGUGAAAUCCCCGGGCUUAACCUGGGAACUGCAUUUGAAACUGUCAGGCUGGAGUCUUGUAGAGGGGGGUAGAAUUCCAGGUGUAGCGGUGAAAUGCGUAGAGAUCUGGAGGAAUACCGGUGGCGAAGGCGGCCCCCUGGACAAAGACUGACGCUCAGGUGCGAAAGCGUGGGGAGCAAACAGGAUUAGAGACCCCAGUAGUCCCUGUCUCUUAUAC
rnacentral:rRNA from 1 species